CUGCAUAAUACUGUGCUAAGCAUUUGCUGCUAUGUUUCUCAAAAGUGACUUGCAAGCUGUUCCUCUGAUGAUUUGCGUGGAUUCUGGGCUCAAUCAGUAAUGUUUUCUAACAAUACAUUCAUUUUCUUUUAGUGGAACUCAUGGAAGAUGUACUUGCUGCAGGCCAAAUCUCACUGAAUUUGGUGCUGUAAAACUCUAGUCAUCCUUAACUGCUCUGAAGUGGGCUCAGAGGCAGUCAAGUACAGAGUUUCCAAAUGAUGACAGCAGUCCAUCCCUGCCGUGAUCUUCUACUGCUUGUUUUUCUCCACUUAUCUGAACACAGAUGGAAAAAGAAACAGCUAGCCGUCCUUCCCACACAACAAGCAACAGACAAAAGACAGCAUGCCCUUUAGCAAGGUACUGCUGAUCAAUGUGUUACUGCAAGAAGAACCGCAAGCACCUGAAAACACCUAAUUCUUGUCAUAUAUUAUUUUGAAUUCAGUAUUUUAGUUUUACCUUGUUUUUCUGGUUACCUUUUGUUGUUGUUAUUGUUCCUUAGUGUUCGCCUGGUUUUAAACAACCUUCUGUUUUGAAAAGCCUGCUUGAAAGCAGGGCUUUUAAGCAAACACUGCUGUUCUAGAGUAUGCAGCUGCAGUCACUCAGUGUACAGAAAGCAUCUGAAAAACUAACUUCCAUCAUGUGGAUGCUCGAAAAACGAGGUCUCGGCAUGUGCGUUUCAACAGCAAAUAUCACAAAAUAUCACAUACAAAUAUCACGAGGUUAAACAGGAUUAUUAUUUACCUUAGCUGGUUUCAUUCCUGCCAUGCCAUCACUGGAACGCACAGAUGCUGAAAUGAGAACCUGCUGAUGUAACAUAAUCUGCAUAACGUGUAUAGUUCAAUACCGAGCUUUUUGUAGGAGUGGGCAGGAAUCUUUGGGAUAACUGUAUUCAUAAUGUUUGCUGAAUCCAUUUGUUUUUCUCAACUUACACUUUGGUUUUGCAUCAUCUACAUAAUAUUUAUUGCGCCUUGCAAAUACUUGAGUCUACAGAGGUAAUACCAAAAUUGAAGUUGUUUUAAGAUACCGGCUCUGUAGGAGUUUCAGAAUGAGCAAUAGCUUUCAAACGACCAUUAAAAAGAUCUUUUAUUUAACGGUUUUUGUUUUUUUAAUUUGGACACUGUGGAAGAGCUUGAAUGAAUGGCAAAAAUGGAAACUGUAGAUUAUAUCCAUGCACUCUCCUGCUUUGGUGUCAUCGUUGUGCUAUUUCAGUUAUUCUUAUCGACUUGAUGCUAACGACAAACCAGUAUAAUGGGCUUUAAUUUUUGUAAAGCCCAAAACUGUACAGAGAAUCUUCACUGGCAGCAAUAAAACCCUUCAUGUGGACUUUCAAAAUAACAGCUCUCAAAAUAUUUCAACUUCAUAUAGAUAGGAAUUUGGAGCCCUUGAAAGUAUGUCAACAACAUAAUUCCUCAUAAUUGGAUAUCUCACAAACAGGAA
ensembl:lncRNA